CUGGAAAUUGUCAAUGGAUAUCAGAUCUUAUAAAAACUCUAAUUAUAUUGUGGAAUAUAUGGCAAUAAAUGGAACUGGUCUCUUCCUGUUUGGUCAUAGUGGAUCUGCUGUUGUAAUUCAGAUAAGUUUGUCACCAUCCGAUUUCCGAACUGCCCAGUUGGGUGCUUCUGGUCGCUUUAUGAUCAGACGCUUUUCUGGUAGUGAUAGGGAACAGGAAUUUCUGGGGCCAAUUAAUGAUUGUCAAAUUCCACUCAUCUGUGGAAAAAUUGGAUUGUGUAUGGAUACUAAGUCCAACAGAACAACUUGUUCGUGUCCACAAGGUUUCCAUCGAGUUUCACAAAAUUCUAGUGGGUGCAUGCCAAGUGGUCGUUCUUUGCCGCGUGCUUGUGAUUCAACCAGUCAGUUGAAUCCCUCUGCUCUUUCAUAUUCAAGGCUUGGUUAUGAUAUGGAUUACUUUUCUAUUGAUUUCUCUGAGCCUGUAAGAUAUGGGGUAAAUUUGUCAGUUUGUCAAGAGUUUUGCACAUCAGACUGUUCUUGCUUGGGAAUUUUUUAUGCAAAUUCAUCAGGAUCUUGCUAUGCACUUGAAAAUGACUUGGGUUCCAUCAUAUCAAGCGCUGCAGAUGAUGAUGAUGAUCUGUGGGGCUACAUUAAAGUUAUAGUUGGAGCAGCUUCAGAUCUCAAUAACACCUAUAG
rnacentral:misc_RNA from 1 species